rfam:Wenxinia saemankumensis strain DSM 100565 genome assembly, contig: Ga0131179_102
GGGGACCUUCGGGGCCCUAUACGAACAGCCGGGCGGUCCACCGCCCGCAAAGCAACGGAAGACAGAGA